GAUGAAGAACGCAGCGAAAUGCGAUAUGUAAUGUGAAUUGCAGAAUUCAGUGAAUCAUCGAAUCUUUGAACGCACAUUGCGCCCGCCAGUAUUCUGGCGGGCAUGCCUGUCUGAGCGUCAUUUCAACCCUCAAGCAACUUCUGCUUGGUGUUGGGGAUCGGCCGUCAAACGCCGCCCCCGAAAUCUAUUGGCGAUCUCGCUGUAGCUUCCUAUGCGUAGUAGUAACAUCUCGCAUCUGGAGAGCGGCGCGGUCAUGCCGUAAAACACCCAACUUCUCAGGUUGACCUCAGAUCAGGUAGGAAUACCCGCUGAACUUAAGCAUAUCAAUAAGCGGAGGA
rnacentral:misc_RNA from 1 species